GGGUUCGAUUCAGGUUCCUUGUGGUACUGAGAUGGAUCAGAAGGCGUCCUUGUCCCUUGAUGACUUGAUGUCGUACACCAUGCCAUCUAACACCUCUUUUAUGCAGGCAUGGGCCAAACAACUAGAUUACUUGGGAAAAUAUGCUGGUAGUCAUUUCUGUUCGGCUAGCAUCAGGCGGUUGUUCGGAGCAACCAAGUCUCAGCCGUUAAUGAGAUCAAAUAGGUCUUGUCCAAAAGAUUGAAAAACACGGGCUUCUGGAAAUGAGGCGUGAUGCUGUUUAUAUUCACAAGAAAGUUGUAAGGUGCAAGUGCUCCAUUGCUUUAUCAUAGAAAGACAAACUUUACAAAGAAACCUUGGAGUGUGAGGCGGCUGUCUGGUGACCGCAAACUUGUGGAGGAAUUGCUUGUAGCCUCAUUGAACAGGUACAGUUUUUAAUCAGAAAAAGCCUCAUGCUAUCAACCUAACAUAAUGAUCUAUGAGAGAAGCGAGUGUUCAUACAUUUGCGAACUUCUUACGUUCAAAAUGCAGGAAAAGAAAGAAUGCUUUGUGCCAUGCCUCUGCAUGUAACAGUUUAUUUAGGCAGCAUACUGCUUUUAAACUUCUAUGAACAACUUGAUAGACUUUGCCUUUCUAUAUCUGCUGCAGAUAUUUCUUGUUCCGAACUGUUCCUUGCUACAAGG